AGUGAACGCUGGCGGUAGGCCUAACACAUGCAAGUCGAACGGCAGCACAGUAAGAGCUUGCUCUUACGAGUGGCGAGUGGCGGACGGGUGAGGAAUACAUCGGAAUCUACUUUUUCGUGGGGGAUAACGUAGGGAAACUUACGCUAAUACCGCAUACGACCUACGGGUGAAAGCAGGGGAUCUUCGGACCUUGCGCGAUUGAAUGAGCCGAUGUCGGAUUAGCUAGUUGGCGGGGUAAAGGCCCACCAAGGCGACGAUCCGUAGCUGGUCUGAGAGGAUGAUCAGCCACACUGGAACUGAGACACGGUCCAGACUCCUAAGGGAGGCAGCAGUGGGGAAUAUUGGACAAUGGGCGCAAGCCUGAUCCAGCCAUACCGCGUGGGUGAAGAAGGCCUUCGGGUUGUAAAGCCCUUUUGUUGGGAAAGAAAAGCAGCAGGUUAAUACCCCGCUGUUCUGACGGUACCCAAAGAAUAAGCACCGGCUAACUUCGUG
rnacentral:rRNA from 1 species